GUCCCCAACUGUAUUCGUGGAGGAUUUAGUGAAAUUACUAUUAUAUUUAUGACGAAACUGCAAUCCUUUUGAGGAUUUCGUCAUGGCUGGCAGCUUUCCUUUGAAAAGACAAACACUGAGCCUUUACAAAAAAAUAUUGCAAAAAUGUGCAAGAGCCUCAAGCCAUCAAAGAUCAUCUUCAAGAAGCAGAAGCAAGACUUGAAAUGGCCCUGCACUACAGAAACCCUUAUCCACGGCCAGUUAAUUUGCCACCAAAAACGGUCACUGUUCGACCUG